rnacentral:rRNA from 1 species
CCUACGGGUGGCAGCAGUGAGGAAUAUUGGUCAAUGGACGAGAGUCUGAACCAGCCAAGUAGCGUGAAGGAUGACUGCCCUAUGGGUUGUAAACUUCUUUUAUAUGGGAAUAAAAUGUUCCACGUGUGGGAUUUUGUAUGUACCAUAUGAAUAAGGAUCGGCUAACUCCGUGCCAGCAGCCGCGGUAAUACGGAGGAUCCGAGCGUUAUCCGGAUUUAUUGGGUUUAAAGGGAGCGUAGGUGGAUUGUUAAGUCAGUUGUGAAAGUUUGCGGCUCAACCGUAAAAUUGCAGUUGAAACUGGCAGUCUUGAGUACAGUAGAGGUGUGCGGAAUGCGUGGUGUAGCGGUGAAAUGCUUAGAUAUCACGAAGAACUCCGAUUGCGAAGGCAGUUCACUGGACUGCAACUGACACUGAGGCUCGAAAGUGUGGGUAUCAAACAGGAUUAGAUACCCUGGUAGUC